rnacentral:piRNA from 1 species
UAGAUACUACUGUGAACCGUUUUUGCC